rnacentral:rRNA from 1 species
UGGCGGACGGGUGAGUAACGCGUGGAAAACCUGCCGUAUACUGGGGGAUAACACUUAGAAAUAGGUGCUAAUACCGCAUAAGCGCACAGCUUCGCAUGAAGCGGUGUGAAAAACUCUGGUGGUAUACGAUGGUUCCGCGCUGAUUAGCUAGUUGGUGGGGUAAUGGCCUACCAAGGCAACGAUCAGUAGCCGGCCUGAGAGGGUGAACGGCCACAUUGGGACUGAGACACGGCCCAAACUCCUACGGGAGGCAGCAG